AAAACCUGCACAAGAGAGAACUAAAAACAACUUCUAUUCUCCAAAACCUGCACUAGCGAGAACUAGAAACAACUUCUAUUUCGGCUGUGUUAAAUUUCUCUUUAGUGUAUGGCCAAAUUUCACGAAAUCCUUUUGGAUAAACAUACCACGAUUUAAAAAUUCUCUUAAUGCCAAUCGUCCAAUCUAUCAAUAUAUUUUUAUUUCUCUUUUACUUCCAUUUCUAAUAUUCCAAACAAGGCACUAAAAGGUAAAUUUAAGAGCUGAAAAACACUCUUUGAGCCUAAACCUUCUUUCCCCCACCCUUGCCUACAUCGUGAUUUUCCAUCUAAUCCCAACCGUGCCAUGUGAGAGAAACAUAUUUGUAGUUAGGAACACAACAAUAAAGAGGGUGCAUUCAUAAACAGUGGGUAAAUUGUACCCUAAAUAACUUGGAUAUUGGAACAAGUUGUCGAAGCCGAACGAACUCGGCUCGGCUCGGUUCGGUUCGGCUGUGGUACCAACUUGCGCCAAAUGACGUCAUCCUGAGCUUUUCCCCUGACGUCAUCACAUCUAUCUCCUUCCUUCCGUGUGUGCCACGUGGUCUGCUAAGUUUAUUCGCACUCACAUUAUUACUCGCAGACGCGCGUGGAAUUAAACCUUAGAAGAAGUGUUCUACAUUUAGACUUUUACAGAUAGCUUUUGCAUUCAAUGCUCACCAAACUUAGAUUCAAACUAGCCAAUAAAAACAACCUUAGGUUUUAGGAGAAAUUUUCAUGUGGGCAUUGCUCUCUCCCACUCUAAAUUAUUGCUUCAGAAAUUUUUAUAUAGUCACUGUUCAUAGUGGUGUUCUCAAAGUCGGAUUUAACUGAAGAUUGAUGAAUUUGGAU
rnacentral:lncRNA from 1 species